rnacentral:siRNA from 1 species
AGGAAGCCUCCGUCCCAGAUAAAC